GAUGAACGCUGGCGGCGUGCUUAACACAUGCAAGUCGAACGGAAAGGCCUCUGCUUGCUGGGGUACUCGAGUGGCGAACGGGUGAGUAACACGUGGGUGAUCUGCCCUGCACUUCGGGAUAAGCCUGGGAAACUGGGUCUAAUACCGGAUAGGACAAUGGUUUGGAUGCUGUUGUGGAAAGUUUUUCGGUGUGGGAUGAGCUCGCGGCCUAUCAGCUUGUUGGUGGGGUAAUGGCCUACCAAGGCGUCGAGGGGUAGCCGGCCUGUGAGGGUGUACGGCCACAUUGGGAGUGAGAUACGGCGCAGACUCCCACGGGGGGCAGAAGUGGGGAAUAUUGCGCAAUGGGGGCAAGCCUGAUGCGGAGAAGCGGCGUGGGGGAUGACGGCCUUCGGGGUGUAAACUCCUCUCGCUAGGGAGGAAGCGUGUUUGUGACGGUACCUGGAGAAGAAGCACCGGCUAACUACGUG
rnacentral:rRNA from 1 species